UACGUAGGGUCCAAGCGUUAUCCGGAAUCAUUGGGCGUAAAGCGUGCGUAGGUGGCGUGUUAAGUGUGAUGUUAAAUCGUGUGGCUCAACCAUAUCGAUGUGUCGCAUAACUGGCAUGCUAGAGGGAAGCAGAGGCAAGUGGAAUUUGUAGUGUAGCAGUGAAAUGCGUAGAUAUUACAAGGAACACCAAUGGCGAAGGCAGCUUGCUGGGCUUCUUCUGACACUGAGGUACGAAAGCGUGGGGAGCGAACAGG
rnacentral:rRNA from 1 species